AUGUACGAAGCUUAUCCAGCAGUCCUACACAUGUGUAACAGCGGCAGUGGUGGCCACUUUGUUUUUCAGCUCUUCGGCAAGGGAAACCGGGAUUUGGUUCACUUCAACAUGGACAUAGGUCAAAUCCGGGUCGACUACGCCAUGAACGCCUUCAGUCGCAAGACCUUGUACUUUAGCAUCAACAGUGGUUGUUCAGGCUCAUAA
rnacentral:rRNA from 1 species